rnacentral:rRNA from 1 species
GUCGAACGCUGGCGGCAUGUCUAAGGCAUGCAAGUCGUACGAACAACGAGAGUGCUUGCAUUCUCUGCGUGAGUGGCAAACGGGAGAGUAACAUAUUGGUAAUCUACCUUGUACUCGUGAACAACCUAGGGAAACCUUGGCUAAUACACGAUAUUGAUGGGGGGACGCAAGUCAUUCCCAUUGAAAGCUUCGGCGGUGCAAGAGGAGCCUAUACACUAUCAGCUUGUUGGUGAGGUAAAAGCUCACCAAGGCUAUGACGGUUACCGGGCGUGAGAGCGUGACCCGGCUCACUGGGACUGAGAUACUGCCCAG